rnacentral:rRNA from 1 species
UAGCAUAUCAAUAAGCGGAGGAAAAGAAACCAACAGGGAUUGCCUCAGUAACGGCGAGUGAAGCGGCAACAGCUCAAAUUUGAAAUCUGGCCUCUUUGGGGUCCGAGUUGUAAUUUGUAGAGGAUGUUUCGGGUACCGCCUCGGUUUAAAUUUCUUGGAACAGAAUGUCAGAGAGGGUGAGAAUCCCGUCUUGGACCGGCGGUAGGGCCCAUGUGAAACUCCUUCGACGAGUCGAGUUGUUUGGGAAUGCAGCUCAAAAUGGGUGGUAAAUUUCAUCUAAAGCUAAAUAUUGGCCAGAGACCGAUAGCGCACAAGUAGAGUGAUCGAAAGAUGAAAAGAACUUUGAAAAGAGAGUUAAACAGUAUGUGAAAUUGUUGAAAGGGAAGCGCUUGCAACCAGACUUGAGCGCGGCGGUUCCCCCUUCCUUUUGGUUGGGUUACUCCGCCGUGUCCAGGCCAACAUCGGUUCUGGGGGUCGGUUAAAGGCCCGGGGAAUGUACCUACUCCUUCGGGGGUAGACUUAUAGCCCCGGGUGUCAUGCGACCACCCGGGACCGAGGAACGCGCUUCGGCUCGGAUGUUGGCGUAAUGGUUGUCAGCGACCCGUCUUGAAACACGGACCAAGGAGUCUAACAUCUAUGCGAGUGUUUGGGUGUCAAACCCGGAACGCGAAAUGAAAGUGAACGGAGGUAGGAAGCCUUUGGGCUGCACUAUCGACCGAUCCUGAUGUCUUCGGAUGGAUUUGAGUAAGAGCAUAGCUGUUGGGACCCGAAAGAUGGUGAACUAUGCCUGAAUAGGGUGAAGCCAGAGGAAACUCUGGUGGAGGCUCGCAGCGGUUCUGACGUGCAAAUCGAUCGUCAAAUUUGGGUAUAGGGGCGAAAGACUAAUCGAACCAUCUGGUAGCUGGUUCCUGCG